AACUUGUUUCCGGGGUUGUGGACAUAACAUAAAAGUGGAGGCUAUUGUAACUGAAGAGAACUGGAAAGUUCCACCGUAGAAGGUAAUAGUCCUGUAAGUGAAACGAGAAGACCACGAGUUAUGAUCCAGAGUACCACGAGACACGUGAAACCUUGUGGGAAGCAGGGAGGACCACCUCCCAAGGCUAAAUACUACCUGAUGACCGAUAGUGAAGCAGUACCGUGAGGGAAAGGUGAAAAGAACCCCGGGAGGGGAGUGAAAUAGAACCUGAAACCGUGUGCCUACAACCGCUCAGAGCCCCUUAUGAGGGUGAUGAGGUGCUUUUUGUAGAACGAGCCAACGAGUUACGGUAUGUAGCAAGGUUAAGUACUUAAGGUACGGAGCCGAAGGGAAACCGAGUCUGAAUAGGGCGACUAGUUGCAUGCCGUAGACCCGAAACCGGGUGACCUAUCCAUGGCCAGGUUGAAGCGAGGGUAAAACCUCGUGGAGGACCGAACCACGUUGCUGUUGAAAAAGCAUGGGAUGAGCUGUGGAUAGCGGAGAAAUUCCAAUCGAACCCGGAGAUAGCUGGUUCUCUCCGAAAUAGCUUUAGGGCUAGCGUCGAGUAUGAGUAGUGGAGGUAGAGCACUGAAUGGGCUAGGGGGCAUAGCGCUUACCGAACCUUAUCAAACUCCGAAUGCCACAUACUUUGAGCUCGGCAGUCAGACUACGAAUGAUAAGAUCCGUGGUCAAAAGGGAAACAGCCCAGAUCGUCAGCUAAGGUCCCAAAGUGUAAGUUAAGUGGGAAAGGAUGUGAGAUUUCUAAGACAACUAGGAUGUUGGCUUAGAAGCAGCCAUUCAUUAAAAGAGUGCGUAAUAGCUCACUAGUCGAGAGAUCUUGCGCCGAAAAUGUAACGGGGCUAAACUUACCACCGAAGCUACGGGCUUGAACUUAGUUCAAGCGGUAGGAGAGCGUCGUAACCGGGCUGAAGUCGUACCGUAAGGAGCGGUGGACUGGUUACGAGUGAGAAUGUUGGCAUCAGUAGCGAGAUGUGGGUGAGAAUCCCACAGGCCGAAAACCUAAGGUUUCCUCAGGAAGGUUCGUCCGCUGAGGGUUAGUCGGGACCUAAGCCGAGGCCGAAAGGCGUAGGUGAUGGACAACUGGUUGAUAUUCCAGUACCACUACCAUCGUUAUUAUCGAUGGCGUGACGCAGGAGGAUAGUGUGUGCUAGCUAUUGGAUGCUAGUCUAAGCGUUUAGGCAGUGAGAGUAGGCAAAUCCGCUCUCAUAAUGCUGAGGCGUGAUGGGGAAGGUUCUACGGAAC
rnacentral:rRNA from 1 species